UAAUAUAUAUGUGUAUUAAUAUGUAUGUAUAUAUAAAGUUUACCAAGUUGAAGUUGUUUUUUAUAUUUCAAAAAACAUAUGUGUGUAAGAAGUAAUCAAACAUGCAACUCAACUAAUUUAUUAAAUAUAUAUAUAUAUAUAUAUAUAUAUAUAUAUAUAUAUAUAUGCUCGAAAAUUGUAAUGCUUCUUCAUCAAAUGUAACAAUAUGAUUGGUGUUAAGAUUAGAUAAUUAUUUAUUAUCGUUUAUCCCUUGGAGAUCAAGUUACUUAUUGCUCAAGUCUUUUCAAAAGGCUAAUUAAGAAAUAAUAUUUAUAUCUAAGAAAUGUUUUUUUCGGGUGUCAGAAACAAAUGAUUCAAGUUUCUAUUUAUAGAGAAAAAUAUGAUAAAUUUUGGAUAUGAAAAAAUUAUUUGAUAUGAAAUAGUUAAGUUUAAAUAUCUAAGAUAUCUUAUCAACCAAUCAGAGCCGAUACCUUUCCCCAAUCCACAAUUUUGCCAAGUUUUUAUUUUCAUCAAAUUUACGACUAAUUAAACGCUUACACGCGUUCGAGGGACCUCAUUUCUGCAUUACAACAAGUUGCAAAUUAUCAACUUAUUUUUUGCCAGUAAGAUUGCAUCAACAAAUGAUAAAUAUUUAUCAAAAUUUUCAUUGUACAUAGCCUAACACCACCAAGAUAAGACAUGUAGAAUCAUAAUUAUUUGAUUAAAUUUUUGUGGAAUAAAAAGGUUAAAUCCUAAUUGCCUACAAAAUUAAAGUAAAAUCAUGCAACAUAACUAAUUCAUUAAAUUAAGGUUAUUAGCAUAUUUUAUGUUGUAUUUCGGCAAUAGUGUGGUGAUACAAGUUUAAAAUAGGUGAAUUUGAAAUAAUAUAGAACCAUAAGAGAUCAUGCUUUCAUCAACAACUACGUUUCUUUAUACAAACAUAUCAAAAAAUCUUUUGAGUUUCACAUGGACACCAUGUUUUCGACCGAAUCAAAAUUCCUUGGUAAGAUCUAUUUCUUCCUCAAAAUUUAAUGUGUUUGAUUAGAUUUCACAUCUCACAAUUUGAUUUUUGUAGUGGCUGUCUCAUGCAUCGUUUUGUGGUCAUUUCAAUUAUAUCCUCACUUUCUCUAAGUUCGAACUCACCAACAAAGAUUAGAAACUUACAAGACCACACUUUAUUGCUAUCUCAUCAGCUUGUUUAGCCUUUAGCCAUCUUAUUUUGAGCAUGAAAUUAUGUUUCCUCGUAACUUCUUUUUUGAUGGCAUAAAAUCAAGGCAUUUAAAAAAA
rnacentral:sRNA from 1 species